AUUGAACGCUGGGGAAUGCUUUACACAUGCAAGUCGAACGGUAGAGGGGGCAACCCCUCGAGAGUGGCGAACGGGUGAGUAAUAUAUCAGAACGUGCCCAGUCGUGGGGGAUAACGUAGCGAAAGUUACGCUAAUACCGCAUACGAUCUAAGGAUGAAAGCGGGGGAUCGCAAGACCUCGCGCGAUUGGAGCGGCCGAUAUCAGAUUAGGUAGUUGGUGGGGUAAAGGCUCACCAAGCCAACGAUCUGUAGCUGGUCUGAGAGGACGACCAGCCACACUGGAACUGAGACACGGUCCAGACUCCUACGGGAGGCAGCAGUGGGGAAUUUUGGACAAUGGACGCAAGUCUGAUUCAGCCAUUCCGCGUGCAGGAUGAAGGCCCUCGGGUUGUAAACUGCUUUUGUACGGAACGAAAAGGUCUCUCUUAAUACGGGGGGCUCAUGACGGUACCGUAAGAAUAAGCACCGGCUAACUACGUGCCAGCAGCCGCAGUAA
rnacentral:rRNA from 1 species